rnacentral:misc_RNA from 1 species
UCCGGCUUGUCACCGGCAGUUUCUUCAGAGUGCCCGGCACUACCCGAUGGCAACUGAAGAUGGGGGUUGCGCUCGUUGCGGGACUUAACCCAACAUCUCACGACACGAGCUGACGACAGCCAUGCAGCACCUGUGUUCCGGCCAGCCGAACUGAAGGACCGCGUCUCCACGACCCACACCGGACAUGUCAAGGGUAGGUAAGGUUUUUCGCGUUGCAUCGAAUUAAUCCACAUCAUCUACCGCUUGUGCGGGUCCCCGUCAAUUCCUUUGAGUUUUAAUCUUGCGACCGUACUCCCCAGGCGGUCGACUUCACGCGUUAGCUGCGGUACUAAGGAAGUCUCCUUCCCCAACACCUAGUCGACAUCGUUUAGGGCGUGGACUAC